rnacentral:lncRNA from 1 species
UGACAUUUCAGACAAUACUUUAAUUCUUAAUAAAACUCAGAAGGACAGACAUUAUUAGUGUACCCACAAGAAUAUACAUUUCUAGUAGCUUGCCAGUAAUCACACAGGUUAACAUGCAGGGUUAGUACUCAAAAUAGCUUCUUUGAACUUCAAUUGACACAGGGUAUAAAAAUAUCAUGGAUAGGCUUGCUUGAUCAUUUUAAAAUAAUUUCAAAUCAACCCAUAUGUUACUAAGAGUCUGUCACAUGUUUGUAUAUGAUUGCUACAUUAAUGAUUUACAAAGUGUCAAGAAGUUUUAUGGAUACCUAGAAAGAAUAGUACAACUCAAUAAAAAAAACUUUUACAAGUGUUGAAGAGAAAUUUUACAUUAAAAUGUUAUUUUGUUUCUUCGUCCUGAGAGAAUGAAUUUUUUUAAAAACACACAGUUAAAAUCAAGCAUU